GUCAGCUGGUGGGGUCAGUCAGCAGGUGGGUGCAGUCAGCAGGUGGGUCAGUCAGCAGGUGGGGUCACUCAGCAGGUGGGGUCAGUUAGCAGUUGGUUCAGGAAGCAGGUGGGUCAGUCAGCUGGUGGGGUCAGUCAGCAGGUGGGUGCAGUCAGCAGGUGGGUCAGUCAGCAGGUGGGGUCACUCAGCAGGUGGGGUCAGUCAGCAGGUGGGUACAGGAAGCAGGUGGGUCAGUCAGCAGGUGGGUGCAGUCAGCAGGUGGGUCAGUCAGCAGGUGGGUCAGUCAGCAGGUG